AGAGUUUGAUCAUGGCUCAGUAUGAACGCUAGCUACAGGCUUAACACAUGCAAGUCGAGGUGCAUCAGUUUGGUUUGCUUGCAAACCAAGGCUGGCGACCGGCGCACGGGUGAGUAACACGUAUCCAACCUGCCUCAUACGUCGGGGAUAGCCUUUCGAAAGAAAGAUUAAUAUCCGAUAGCAUAUAUUUCCCGCAUGGGUUUUAUAUUAAAGAAAUUCGGUAUGAGAGUGGGGAUGCGUUCCUA
rnacentral:rRNA from 1 species